UAUUCUGCCCUACGGGGAAGAUGACGAAGCUUCGACUAAGGUUCGACUCGAGCGUAGCGAGAGAACGUUGCCGAAGGCAACGGUCCGAAGGGCGAGGCGCUUUAGCGCCGAGUAUCUCUCUAC
rnacentral:sRNA from 1 species